rnacentral:rRNA from 1 species
CACGUAGGCGGUUUAACAAGUUGAGUGUGAAAUCUCUGGGCUUAACCUAGAGUCUGCAUUCAAAACUGAUAAACUAGAGGGCAGUAGAGGAGAGUGGAAUUUCCGGUGUAGCGGUAAAAUGCGUAGAAAUCGGAAAGAACACCAGUGGCGAAGGCGACUCUCUGGGCUGUUACUGACGCUGAAGUGCGAAAGCGUGGGGGAGCAAACA